rnacentral:hammerhead_ribozyme from 1 species
ACUCAGAUGAUGAGUUCCAAAUUGGACGAAAUAUGCGUCCUGAAU